GACGAACGCUGGCGGCGUGCUUAACACAUGCAAGUCGAACGGGCCCGCUCUUUUUUGGGGGCGGGUUGAGUGGCGAACAGGUGAGUAUCACGUGAGCAACCUGCCCUCCUCUCCUGGAUAACCGCUUGAAAGGGCGGCUAAUACGGGGUGUUCCGGUUGGUCCGCAUGGGCUGGUCGGGAAAGGUUCAUCGUUGUGGUGUUUCGGUGGGGGAUGGGCUCGCGGCCUAUCAGCUUGUUG
rnacentral:rRNA from 1 species